rfam:Picea glauca, whole genome shotgun sequence.
GUGUACGCCUACAUCAUUAAUGCAGUGAAUCCAAUCACAACUCCACAGUUAAACAAACUUGGGCUAGAGUAGUAUUGGGAUGGUUAACCUCCUGGGAAGUCCUAUUAUUUUACAUG